rnacentral:rRNA from 1 species
UACGGGGGGGCAAGCGUUGUUCGGAAUUACUGGGCGUAAAGGGCUCGUAGGCGGCCAACUAAGUCAGACGUGAAAUCCCUCGGCUUAACCGGGGAACUGCGUCUGAUACUGGAUGGCUUGAGUGUGGGAGAGGGAUGCGGAAUUCCAGGUGUAGCGGUGAAAUGCGUAGAUAUCUGGAGGAACACCGGUGGCGAAGGCGGCAUCCUGGACCACGACUGACGCUGAGUGAGCGAAAGCCAGGGGAGCAAACGGG